GGUGGGGGAUAAUCUCCAUUGAACUCAAUGAUAUUCCAUCCAAGUGCAUAAGUUCAACAUGUAAAAUAUGUGGCACUUUAACAAAACAUCUUCCGCCAGCUUGAUAGGUAACCUUGAGCUUUUAAUUAGGACUGCAAAGAAAUCACGUGAAGCAAUGUUACCAUUUGAACUGCUAGACCAGAUGAGGAAUUCCAUCAACAAAAAGAGCAUAGGACAAAUUCCUGUCUUUCCUUUGGAAUAUGGUUGCUCCUCCUUUGUAGCCUUUGGAAAAGAGCAGAAGGAAUUGUUUCAUUUAGUGGCUGUCCCUGUGUUUGUUACUGAGUUAAGAAGAGACUACCCGUGGCUACCUAUUUUUCUCAUUGGUGUCUCCAAACUAGGAACAUUCUUCACGCAAGUAUAGCUGCUUUCCAGCAAUGCCUCCAGGUCUGAGCUUCAAGAGAGCAAAGAGAGAAAAUAAAGAGGAGUGCCAAGGAGAGGAAAAACCCUGCCAGAAAAAGCAUGGGGAUCUCCUUAAGAAGAAAUUUUCUAUAUUGAAUCUUUUUUCUGGAUACUCAAAGAGUAGAGUUGCUCAAGGAAAGAAUUUGUUCUCUGAAGACAAAAAGAGAGGCCUGCGAAGGAAAGAGUCCAAGAAGGUGAAGGCCCCAAGAGAGGAGGCCAAUUCCUUUAGGAAGGUUCACUCAGGGAAAAUGUGUCCUAAAUGUGAAAUCGUUGUCUGUGGGGUGUGUAACAUGUUGCAUACAGAGAGUAGCUUUAUUGCUCACAGCUUGCUAGACCACUAUGACAAGGGAAGGCAUUCCUCCUGCUGUUCCAGUUCUGGGUUCCCCCUCAGUUGCCAUAAAUGUAAGUACAGUUCAGGACCCCCUGCAAGACCUUGUCCACUGUCUUGCAAUUCCACAACAAAAUGAGAAAAAUAAGCCUAGGACUUUUCUUUUUCAUUGGACUUUCUCUGUUGAGAAUGGGAGAUCAACUGCUGGUUUCCAUAUACUUGUCCUACAGAGCAGGCAUUUAAUACUCAUAUUGGACGUGUUCAGAUGCCUCAAGAGCAUGCACUGCCACAGUCAGAGUGCAGUGCCAGUAUGUGGAAUGGACAACAAAAAACUGGGUGCUGGACGCCUCCUGGUGCACUUAAAAGUAGCCAGAACUCGAGAAAUUUACUUUUAUGAACUAUAAUAUUCAGAAACCUGCUGUCAGCAUGGCAAGUGGGCACAAUGACUGGAGGAUUCUGGAACCUGUAGUUCACCAAAUUAACCUUCUAUGCUUUAAAUGUAGUUGAAAGUUGUAUUGCUUUUGAGAGAAUUGGGUCACUAAGCAAACUUUAGCAGAGCAGGCUAGUAUAGUGAUAAAUAACCUAUAGCCUGUUGUCCCAUACGUAUUUUUGUUUGUAAUCUAGAAUGUUAUUUUAUUGACAUUUUAAACAACCAAUAAACAAUAUUUGUAUCUACU